rnacentral:rRNA from 1 species
UGCAUAUCAAUAAGCGGAGGAAAAGAAACCAACAGGGAUUGCCUUAGUAACGGCGAGUGAAGCGGCAAAAGCUCAAAUUUGAAAUCUAGCACCUUCGGUGUUCGAGUUGUAAUUUGAAGAUGGUAACCUUGGGUUUGGCUCUUGUCUAUGUUCCUUGGAACAGGACGUCAUAGAGGGUGAGAAUCCCGUCUGAUGAGAUGCCCAUUCCUAUGUAAGGUGCUAUCGAAGAGUCGAGUUGUUUGGGAAUGCAGCUCUAAGUGGGUGGUAAAUUCCAUCUAAAGCUAAAUAUUGGCGAGAGACCGAUAGCGAACAAGUACAGUGAUGGAAAGAUGAAAAGAACUUUGAAAAGAGAGUGAAAAAGUACGUGAAAUUGUUGAAAGGGAAGGGCAUUAGAUCAGACUUGGUGUUUUACGAUUAUCUUCUCUUCUUGAGUUGUGCACUCGUAUUUCACUGGGCCAGCAUCGAUUCGGAUGGCAAGAUAAUGGUAGUUGAAUGUGGCUUCACUUCGGUGGAGUGUUAUAGCUUCUGCUGAUAUUGCCUGUCUGGAUCGAGGGCUGCGUCUUUUGACUAGGAUGCUGGCGUAAUGAUCUAAUGCCGCCCGUCUUGAAACACG